rnacentral:rRNA from 1 species
AACGAACGCUGGCGGCAGGCCUAACACAUGCAAGUCGAGCGAUCAUUUCGGUGCUAGCGGCUGAAGGGUGAGUAACGCGUGGGAACGUGCCCUUUUCUGCGGAAUAGUCCUGGGAAACUGGGGGUAAUACCGCAUACGCCCUUUUGGGGAAAGAUUUCUCGGAGAAGGUUCGGCCCGCGUUGGAUUAGGUAGUUGGUGGGGUCAUGUCCCACCAAGCCGACGAUCCAUAGCUGGUUUGCGAGGAUGAUCAGCCACACUGGGACUGAGACACGGCCCAGACUCCUACGGGAGGCAGCAGUGGGGAAUCUUAGACAAUGGGGGCAACCCUGAUCUAGCCAUGACGCGUGAGUGAUGAAGGCCUUAGGGUUGUAAAGCGCUUUCAGCUGGGAAGAUAAUGACGGUACCAGCAGAAGAAGCCCCGGCUAACUCCGUG